rnacentral:lncRNA from 1 species
CCAGGUGGACUUGCUGACUGAUUAGUUUCAUAUACUACUUAGUAACCUCAAGAAGUAGCAGGAGGAUGCCAUGUAUCAAUCUUGAACUUCAAGUCUCACUGCAACAAGGAUGGAGACUCCAGCAGAGUGCAGGGUGGGCACAGACAGGCCACAAGAUGGCGCAGCACCUCCAUACUUGGGCUCUUGACAACCAAGUACUGCUGAAGUUGUAGCAGGAACUACUAGUCCUUCACUGAGGCAUGUAGCCGCCUUGCCGUACAGUCUGUGUACCUGGACCAAAAGCAUCUGCUGCAGAAACUUCCUGAAACAUUUUCAUUUGCCCAGAUCCACAGGAUUGUGAAAUAUGAUCUGAAAUCUGCUGUUUAAGUCUAACAAAAUCUUCCUCAUUGACUGAUGAAACUUGCUUUGACCUUUCAAAAUGUGAAAUAUCUGGACUGGAUUCAUGCUGACUGCAGUUCUGUUUGAAGUACUGUUGCCUGGGCAAAAUACCAUCACCGCCAUCUACAUGAUCUACUAAUUGUAGAUCUUCUGGCCGCUCCUCUGAAUCUAACAAGGGCUGGGUAGACUCGGAUCUUGAGAAGACUUGGACUGACGGAACUUGGUGUCUGUAGCCACUGUGUACCACGGUAGAAUACUGGACAGUGCUCGAAGUGUUUUGUGAAGAUUCAUUUUCAUCACUGCUAGAAAUGCUUGGCCUAGAAGAUGACAUGCAUGAAGACCCCCCAAUACCACUGCUGUGUCCUUCAGUAUUAAUUUUUUCCUUUUUGAACAGGUCCAAUGAUUUCAGAUCUUCUGGA